rnacentral:rRNA from 1 species
CCUACGGGUGGCAGCAGUGAGGAAUAUUGGUCAAUGGGCGGGAGCCUGAACCAGCCAAGCCGCGUGAGGGAAGAAGGUACAGCGUAUCGUAAACCUCUUUUGUCAGGGAACAAAGGCGGGGACUAGUCCCCGGAUGAGGGUACCUGAAGAAAAAGCAUCGGCUAACUCCGUGCCAGCAGCCGCGGUAAUACGGAGGAUGCGAGCGUUAUCCGGAUUUAUUGGGUGUAAAGGGAGCGUAGACGGUUAAUCAAGUCAGAAGUGAAAACCCAGGGCUCAACCUUGGGACUGCUUUUGAAACUGAGUAGCUAGAGUGCAGGAGAGGUAAGCGGAAUUCCUAGUGUAGCGGUGAAAUGCGUAGAUAUUAGGAGGAACACCAGUGGCGAAGGCGGCUUACUGGACUGUAACUGACGUUGAGGCUCGAAAGCGUGGGGAGCAAACAGGAUUAGAUACCCUGGUAGUC